rnacentral:rRNA from 1 species
GAACUUUCCAGAGAUGGAUUGGUGCCUUCGGGAACUGUGAGACAGGUGCUGCAUGGCUGUCGUCAGCUCGUGUUGUGAAAUGUUGGGUUAAGUCCCGCAACGAGCGCAACCCUUAUCCUUUGUUGCCAGCGGUCCGGCCGGGAACUCAAAGGAGACUGCCAGUGAUAAACUGGAGGAAGGUGGGGAUGACGUCAAGUCAUCAUGGCCCUUACGACCAGGGCUACACACGUGCUACAAUGGCGCAUACAAAGAGAAGCGACCUCGCGAGAGCAAGCGGACCUCAUAAAGUGCGUCGUAGUCCGGAUUGGAGUCUGCAACUCGACUCCAUGAAGUCGGAAUCGCUAGUAAUCGUGGAUCAGAAUGCCACGGUGAAUACGUUCCCGGGCCUUGUACACACCGCCCGUCACACCAUGGGAGUGGGUUGCAAAAGAAGUAGGUAGCUUAACCUUCGGGAGGGCGCUUACCACUUUGUGAUU